GCGCCCUUAGCUCAGCUGGAUAGAGCAUUAGGCUUCGAACCUAAGGGUCGGGAGUUCGAAUCUCUCAGGGCGCA
rnacentral:tRNA from 1 species